CGAAGAUGGGCAAGAGAGGCUGGCUUCAGGUGGCAAACUUUAAGCAAAAGAAACACACAAGGGCGUGGAGACCUGGGGAAAAAGCAGCACUGAGAAAUCUACCCUCUGAAACUGACGAGGAUGGGCAACAGAGGCUACCUCAGGUGGCAAUCGUUAAGCAAAAGAAACACACAAGGGCGUGGAGACCUGGGGAAAAAGCAACACGGAGAAAUCCACCCUCUGAAACUGAGGAAGAUGGGCAAGAGAGGCUAGCUCAGGUGGCAAUCGUUAAGCAAAAACAAAACCCAAAGGCGUGGAGACCUGGGGAAAAAGCAACCCUGAAAUAUCUACCCUCUGAAACUGAGGAAGAUGGGCAAGAGAGGCUGGCUUCAGGUGGCAAACUUUAAGCAAAAGAAACACACAAGGGCGUGGAGACCUGGGGAAAAAGCAACACGGAGAAAUCCACCCUCUGAAACUGAGGAAGAUGGGCAAGAGAGGCUAGCUCAGGUGGCAAUCGUUAAGCAAAAGAAACACACAAGGGCGUGGAGACCUGGGGAAAAAGCCACACGGAGAAAUCCACCCUCUGAAACUGAAGAAGAUGGGCAACAGAGGCUAGCUCAGGUGGCAAUCUUUAAGCAAAAAAAAUAAAAUAAAAAAAUACAAUGGCGAGGAGACCCGGUCAAAAAGCAACCCUGAAAAAGGUACCCUCUGAAACUGAGGAAGCAGGGCAACAAUGCCUAGCUCAGGUGACAAUCUUUAAGCAAAAGAAACACACAAGGGCGUGGAGACCUGGGGAAAAAGCAACACGGAGAAAUCCACCCUCUGAAACUGAGGAAGAUGGGCAACAGAGGCUACCUCAGGUGGCAAUCGUUAAGCAAAAACAAAACCCAAAGGCGUGGAGACCUGGGGAAAAAGCAACCCUGAAAUAUCUACCCUCUGAAACUGAGGAAGAUGGGCAAGAGAGGCUGGCUUCAGGUGGCAAACUUUAAGCAAAAGAAACACACAAGGGCGUGGAGACCUGGGGAAAAAGCAGCACUGAGAAUCUACCCUCUGAAACUGACGAGGAUGGGCAACAGAGGCUACCUCAGGUGGCAAUCGUUAAGCAAAAGAAACACACAAGGGCGUGGAGACCUGGGGAAAAAGCAACACGGAGAAAUCCACCCUCUGAAACUGAGGAAGAUGGGCAACAGAGGCUAGCUCAGGUGGCAAUUCUUAAGCAAAAAAAAUAAAUAAAAAAAUACAAUGGCGAGGAGACCCGGUCAAAAAGCAACCCUGAAAAAGGUACCCUCUGAAACUGAGGAAGCAGGGCAACAGUGCCUAGCUCAGGUGGCAAUCUUUAAGCAAAAGAAACACACAAGGGCGUGGAGACCUGGGGAAAAAGCAACACGGAGAAAUCCACCCUCUGAAACUGAGGAAGAUGGGCAAGAGAGGCUGGCUUCAGGUGGCAAUCGUUAAGCAAAAGAAACACACAAGGGCGUGGAGACCUGGGGAAAAAGCAACCCUGAAAUAUCUACCCUCUGAAACUGAGGAAGAUGGGCAAGAGAGGCUGGCUUCAGGUGGCAAACUUUAAGCAAAAGAAACACACAAGGGCGUGGAGACCUGGGGAAAAAGCAACCCUGAUAUAUCUACCCUCUGAAACUGACGAGGAUGGGCAACAGAGGCUACCUCAGGUGGCAAUCGUUAAGCAAAAGAAACACACAAGGGCGUGGAGACCUGGGGAAAAAGCAACACGGAGAAAUCCACCCUCUGAAACCGAAGAAGAUGGGCAACAGAGGCUAGCUCAGGUGGCAAUCUUUAAGCAAAAAAAAUAAAAUAAAAAAAUACAAUGGCGAGGAGACCCGGUCAAAAAGCAACCCUGAAAAAGGUACCCUUUGAAACUGAGGAAGCAGGGCAACAGUGCCUAGCUCAGGCGACAAUCUUUAAGCAAAAGAAACACACAAGGGCGUGGGGAGCUGGCGAAAAGGCAACACUGAGAAAUCCACCCUCUGAAACAGACGAAGAUGGGCAACAGAGGCUAGCUCAGGUGGCAAUCUUUAAGCAAAAGAAACACACAAGGGCGUGGAGACCUGGGGAAAAAGCAACACGGAGAAAUCCACCCUCUGAAACUGAGGAAGAUGGGCAAGAGAGGCUACCUCAGGUGGCAAUCCUUAAGCAAAAACAAAGCACAAAGGCGUGGAGCCCUGGGGACAAAGCAACCCUGAAAUAUCUACCCUCUGAAACUGAGGAACAUGGGCAAGAGAGGCUAGCUCAGGUGGCAAUCGUUAAGCAAAAGAAACACACAAGGGCGUGGAGACCUGGGGAAAAAGCAACACGGAGAAAUCCACCCUCUGAAACUGAGGAACAUGGGCAAAAGAAGCUAGCUCAGGUUGCAACCUUUAAGCAGAAAAAAAAAAAAGACGCAAGGGCGUGGAGAGCUGGCGAAAAAGCAACACUGAGAAAUCUACCCUCUGAAACCGAAGAAGAUGGGCAACAGAGGCUAGCUCAGGUGGCAAUCGUUAAGCAAAAACAAAACCCAAAGGCGUGGAGACCUGGGGAAAAAGCAACCCUGAAAUAUCUACCCUCUGAAACUGAGGAAGAUGGGCAAGAGAGGCUGGCUUCAGGUGGCAAACUUUAAGCAAAAGAAACACACAAGGGCGUGGAGACCUGGGGAAAAAGCAGCACUGAGAAAUCUACCCUCUGAAACCGAAGAAGAUGGGCAACAGAGGCUAGCUCAGGUGGCAAUCUUUAAGCAAAAAAAAUAAAAUAAAAAAAUACAAUGGCGAGGAGACCCGGUCAAAAAGCAACCCUGAAAAAGGUACCCUCUGAAACUGAGGAAGCAGGGCAACAGUGCCUAGCUCAGGUGACAAUCUUUAAGCAAAAAAAAAAAAAAAAAAAAA
rnacentral:lncRNA from 1 species